UACGGAGGGUGCGAGCGUUGUCCGGAAUCACUGGGCGUAAAGGGCGCGUAGGUGGCUCGGCAAGCGUGCGGUGAAAGUUCGGGGCUCAACCCCCGAAUCGGCCGUGCGAACUGCCAAGCUUGAGCACUGUAGAGGCAGAUGGAAUUCCGGGUGUAGCGGUGGAAUGCGUAGAGAUCCGGAAGAACACCGAUGGCGAAGGCAGCUCGCUGGGACGGUACUGACGCUGAGGCGCGAAAGCGUGGGGAGCGAACAGG
rnacentral:rRNA from 1 species